rnacentral:rRNA from 1 species
UCGCGGCCUAUCAGCUUGUUGGUGGGGUGAUGGCCUACCAAGGCGACGACGGGUAGCCGGCCUGAGAGGGUGACCGGCCACACUGGGACUGAGACACGGCCCAGACUCCUACGGGAGGCAGCAGUGGGGAAUCUUGCGCAAUGGGCGAAAGCCUGACGCAGCAACGCCGCGUGGGGGAUGACGGCCUUCGGGUUGUAAACCUCUUUCGACACCGACGAAGCCAUCUUCGGGUGGUGACGGUAGGUGUAGAAGAAGCACCGGCUAACUACGUGCCAGCAGCCGCGGUAAUACGUAGGGUGCGAGCGUUGUCCGGAUUUAUUGGGCGUAAAGAGCUCGUAGGCGGUUUGUCGCGUCUAUCGUGAAAACCGGGAGCUUAACUCCUGGCUUGCGGUGGAUACGGGCAGACUUGAGUUCGGUAGGGGAGACUGGAAUUCCUGGUGUAGCGGUGAAAUGCGCAGAUAUCAGGAGGAACACCGGUGGCGAAGGCGGGUCUCUGGGCCGAUACUGACGCUGAGGAGCGAAAGCGUGGGGAGCGAACAGGAUUAGAUACCCUGGUAGUCCACGCCGUAAACGUUGGGCGCUAGGUGUGGGGAUGGGUUCCACUGUUUCCGUGCCGUAGCUAACGCAUUAAGCGCCCCGCCUGGGGAGUACGG